GGGGCGUUAGCUCAGUUGGUAGAGCAGCUGACUCUUAAUCAGCGGGUCGUGGGUUCGAAUCCCUCACGCCCUACCA
rnacentral:tRNA from 1 species